rfam:Populus trichocarpa scaffold_17_contig_60, whole genome shotgun sequence.
AUGGAGAUGAUGAUUAUUUCCCCAAAUGAUCGAAGCUGAAUAAACUGAGCGAUUUUUCUCUUUUGAGAACCAAGCCAGGAUUCUGAUCCAU